CCUACGGGUGGCAGCAGUGGGGAAUAUUGCACAAUGGGGGAAACCCUGAUGCAGCGACGCCGCGUGAGAGAAGAAGGAUUUCGGUAUGUAAAGCUCUAUCAGCAGGGAAGAAAAUGACGGUACCUGAGUAAGAAGCUCCGGCUAAAGACGUGCCAGCAGCCGAGGUAAGACGUAUGGAGCAAGCGGUAUCCGGAUUUACUGGGCGUAAAGGGAGCGUAGGCGGCCUGCCAAGUCUGAUGUGAAAUACCGGGGCUCAACCCCGGGGCUGCCUUGGAAACUGGCAGGCUGGAGGGCCGGAGAGGCAGUCGGAAUUCCUCUUGUAGCGGUGAACUGCGUCGAUAUUAGGCGGAACACCAGUGGCGCAGGCGGCCUGCUGGACGGUGACUGACGCUGCGGCUCGCAAGCGUGGGGAGCAAACAGGAUUAGCUACCCGAGUAGUC
rnacentral:rRNA from 1 species